UAGAAGAGGCCUUGAAAUGUGGGCCUUGAAUUUGCCCCAGAUGAGAUGCAGAUGAGUUGCGCAAUGCUAACUGGGUAUGUUGCCCGCUGCCUGUGUAGGUGUUUUUGACUCUCUGACCUGGAAAAAUGUUCAAAAACCAACUGAUUGUUAUACCUGCUAUUUGCUAAUGAAGUGUUUUAGAUGAUGUGGAUAAAAGCUGGAAUGCUGAUUGGCUGCUUUUUGGGUAGCUGAUAAAGUUAAGUCGAUUGCUGUUUCUCCCGUGUUGUUUUUGUUUAGUUCCCUGGUCGGCCGGUCUCAGAAGUGUGCUGCAUGGUGGCAGCAAGUGUACAUUGUGAACUGUUAGUGUACGAGUCCGGUUGGCUGGGGUUCUGUUAUCUUUUUCUUUUUGUUUCUUUUUUUAUUUGAUGACCAUCUUCCCAGCCUUAAGUCAUUAGCUCAACUCAUUGUGCAUUGUGCAUUGUGUAUUCUGUGUGCAUCCCUUUAGGGUAUGGGAUCCAUGUUUGCUGUGGUUUUCUUUGGAGUUAUGAGUGAAGGGUUAUGUUUUGAGUUGUUCUGAUUGAAUUGUGGUGUUUAUUUCUAUUGAUUUUGUUGUUUUUUUUCUUUUUACUGUCAUUAUAAAAUUGAUGUUUCCUUACACCUUAAAGGUUUGCCACACACAACGGAACCAGCUACUAUAGAGAGCUUUUUUUGCUGGUGGUUAACAUCUUUGAGAGCUGAGAUUAAUUUUGGAUGAGUUAUUUAAAUAAAUAAUUUCAUUUCUAUGUUUAAUUGUGUAUAUUAUUUGUGCCCUAUUGUUUGUAAUAAACCUUUCAUGUUGUACUUUGAGUAGUCCAAAGGGUUUUGACUUUGUGCCUGUACAUUAAACAAGGUAUUCUCUUUCAAAUUAAUUGGAAGGGGUGGCGUAGUGCUACACAAAGAUGACGGUGUUGACAUGUUAUGGUUGUCACAGUAGCAGUGUCCAAAAAUAUGAAGACGUUUAAGAGAAAAUAUCAAACAUACAGGAGCUUGAGUGAUCUUGAAGCAUGCAGUAGAGCUAAAGGUUUGAAAAUGGGCUCCUCAGGAAUGCAGUUGACCCUUUAGUUGUCUGAUUUUAUUGCUUUAUAUAAGUAUCUGACGGUGGUGACGAAUAUGUGGGACACCUUUUGAGCAAUCACAAAAUAAUAGUAAAUAUUGUUCAAAACUCACUGUUUGUAGUUUUUAAUACAUAUUAAAAUGUACUCUUUCAUGUGGUAAAUAUAUUGUUCAAUUAUUACUUUUGGCUUUUUUAAUCAAGUUGAAAUGAUUAUCUCUUAACCGAGGACAGCUGA